CCUACGGGAGGCAGCAGUGAGGAAUAUUGCACAAUGGAGGAAACCCUGAUGCAGCGACGCCGCGUGAGUGAAGAAUGAUUUCGGUAUGUAAAGCUCUAUCAGCAGGGGAAAAAAUGACGGUACCUGAUUAAGAAUCCCCGGCUAACUACGUGCCAGCAGCCGCGGCAAUACGUAGGGGGCAAGCGUUAUCCGGAUUUACUGGGUGUAAAGGGAGCGUAGACGGAAGCAUAAGUCUGGUGUGAAAUGCCGGGGCUUAACCCCGGAACUGCUUUGGAAACUGUGAGGCUAGAGUGCAGGAGAGGUAAGUGGAAUUCGUGGUGUAGCGGUGAAAUGCGUAGAUAUUAGGAGGAACACCAGUGGCGAAGGCGGUUUACUGGACUGUAACUGACGUUGAGGCUCGAAAGCGUGGGGAGCAAACAGGAUUAGAUACCCGAGUAGUC
rnacentral:rRNA from 1 species